rnacentral:rRNA from 1 species
GAUGAACGCUGGCGGCGUGCCUAAUACAUGCAAGUCGAGCGAACGGACGAGAAGCUUGCUUCUCUGAUGUUAGCGGCGGACGGGUGAGUAACACGUGGAUAACCUACCUAUAAGACUGGGAUAACUUCGGGAAACCGUAGCUAAUACCGGAUAAUAUUUUGAACCGCAUGGUUCAAAAGUGAAAGACGGUCUUGCUGUCACUUAUAGAUGGAUCCGCGCUGCAUUAGCUAGUUGGUAAGGUAACGGCUUACCAAGGCAACGAUGCAUAGCCGACCUGAGAGGGUGAUCGGCCACACUGGAACUGAGACACGGUCCAGACUCCUACGGGAGGCAGCAGUAGGGAAUCUUCCGCAAUGGGCGAAAACCUGACGGAGCAACGCCGCGUGAGUGAUGAAGGUCUUCGGAUCGUAAAACUCUGUUAUUAGGGAAGAACAUAUGUGUAAGUAACUGUGCACAUCUUGACGGUACCUAAUCAGAAAGCCCCGGCUAACUACGUG